AAGCUCUGGAGAAUCUCAUUUUAUUGGGUACCGAAGGUGCAAAGCAGCUUUUAUCUGCCGAAACUCUCAGGUCAAAGGACAGGGUA
rnacentral:ncRNA from 1 species